UUAAGCGACUAAGCGUACACGGUGGAUGCCCUGGCAGUCAGAGGCGAUGAAGGGCGUGCUAAUCUGCGAUAAGCGCCGGUAAGGUGAUAUGAACCGUUAUAACCGGCGAUACCCGAAUGGGGAAACCCAGUGUGACUCGUCACACUAUCAUUAACUGAAUCCAUAGGUUAAUGAGGCGAACCGGGGGAACUGAAACAUCUAAGUACCCCGAGGAAAAGAAAUCAACCGAGAUUCCCCCAGUAGCGGCGAGCGAACGGGGAGGAGCCCAGAGCCUGAAUCAGCAUGUGUGUUAGUGGAAGCGUCUGGAAAGGCGCGCGAUACAGGGUGACAGCCCCGUACACAAAAGCGCAUAUGCUGUGAGCUCGAUGAGUAGGGCGGGACACGUGGUAUCCUGUCUGAAUAUGGGGGGACCAUCCUCCAAGGCUAAAUACUCCUGACUGACCGAUAGUGAACCAGUACCGUGAGGGAAAGGCGAAAAGAACCCCGGCGAGGGGAGUGAAAAAGAACCUGAAACCGUGUACGUACAAGCAGUGGGAGCCCCACCACCAAAGCGUUUCGCUUUGUGUGGUGCACAAAGAAGCGUAACGACAGCACUGAAUGACGGUUAACGGAGCGCAAGCGACGUUCAACAUACAAAGUCAAGCAGUGGAGCGCUUUGGGGUGGGGUGACUGCGUACCUUUUGUAUAAUGGGUCAGCGACUUAUAUUCUGUAGCAAGGUUAACCGAAUAGGGGAGCCGGAGGGAAACCGAGUCUUAACCGGGCGUUAAGUUGCAGGGUAUAGACCCGAAACCCGGUGAUCUAGCCAUGGGCAGGUUGAAGGUUGGGUAACACUAACUGGAGGACCGAACCGACUAAUGUUGAAAAAUUAGCGGAUGACCUGUGGCUGGGGGUGAAAGGCCAAUCAAACCGGGAGAUAGCUGGUUCUCCCCGAAAGCUAUUUAGGUAGCGCCUCGUGAACUCAUCUCCGGGGGUAGAGCACUGUUUCGGCUAGGGGGCCAUCCCGGCUUACCAACCCGAUGCAAACUGCGAAUACCGGAGAAUGUUAUCACGGGAGACACACGGCGGGUGCUAACGUCCGUCGUGAAGAGGGAAACAACCCAGACCGCCAGCUAAGGUCCCAAAGUCAUGGUUAAGUGGGAAACGAUGUGGGAAGGCCCAGACAGCCAGGAUGUUGGCUUAGAAGCAGCCAUCAUUUAAAGAAAGCGUAAUAGCUCACUGGUCGAGUCGGCCUGCGCGGAAGAUGUAACGGGGCUAAACCAUGCACCGAAGCUGCGGCAGCGACGCUUAUGCGUUGUUGGGUAGGGGAGCGUUCUGUAAGCCUGUGAAGGUGGCCUGUGAGGGUUGCUGGAGGUAUCAGAAGUGCGAAUGCUGACAUAAGUAACGAUAAAGCGGGUGAAAAGCCCGCUCGCCGGAAGACCAAGGGUUCCUGUCCAACGUUAAUCGGGGCAGGGUGAGUCGACCCCUAAGGCGAGGCCGAAAGGCGUAGUCGAUGGGAAACGGGUUAAUAUUCCCGUACUUGGUGUUACUGCGAAGGGGGGACGGAGAAGGCUAUGUUGGCCGGGCGACGGUUGUCCCGGUUUAAGCGUGUAGGUGUGUGUUCCAGGUAAAUCCGGUUCACUUUAACACUGAGGCGUGACGACGAGGCACUACGGUGCUGAAGCAACAAAUGCCCUGCUUCCAGGAAAAGCCUCUAAGCAUCAGGUAACAUCAAAUCGUACCCCAAACCGACACAGGUGGUCAGGUAGAGAAUACCAAGGCGCUUGAGAGAACUCGGGUGAAGGAACUAGGCAAAAUGGUGCCGUAACUUCGGGAGAAGGCACGCUGACACGUAGGUGAAGUGAUUUACUCACGGAGCUGAAGUCAGUCGAAGAUACCAGCUGGCUGCAACUGUUUAUUAAAAACACAGCACUGUGCAAACACGAAAGUGGACGUAUACGGUGUGACGCCUGCCCGGUGCCGGAAGGUUAAUUGAUGGGGUCAGCGCAAGCGAAGCUCCUGAUCGAAGCCCCGGUAAACGGCGGCCGUAACUAUAACGGUCCUAAGGUAGCGAAAUUCCUUGUCGGGUAAGUUCCGACCUGCACGAAUGGCGUAAUGAUGGCCAGGCUGUCUCCACCCGAGACUCAGUGAAAUUGAACUCGCUGUGAAGAUGCAGUGUACCCGCGGCAAGACGGAAAGACCCCGUGAACCUUUACUAUAGCUUGACACUGAACAUUGAGCCUUGAUGUGUAGGAUAGGUGGGAGGCUUUGAAGUGUGGACGCCAGUCUGCAUGGAGCCGACCUUGAAAUACCACCCUUUAAUGUUUGAUGUUCUAACGUGGACCCGUAAUCCGGGUUGCGGACAGUGUCUGGUGGGUAGUUUGACUGGGGCGGUCUCCUCCUAAAGAGUAACGGAGGAGCACGAAGGUUGGCUAAUCCUGGUCGGACAUCAGGAGGUUAGUGCAAUGGCAUAAGCCAGCUUGACUGCGAGCGUGACGGCGCGAGCAGGUGCGAAAGCAGGUCAUAGUGAUCCGGUGGUUCUGAAUGGAAGGGCCAUCGCUCAACGGAUAAAAGGUACUCCGGGGAUAACAGGCUGAUACCGCCCAAGAGUUCAUAUCGACGGCGGUGUUUGGCACCUCGAUGUCGGCUCAUCACAUCCUGGGGCUGAAGUAGGUCCCAAGGGUAUGGCUGUUCGCCAUUUAAAGUGGUACGCGAGCUGGGUUUAGAACGUCGUGAGACAGUUCGGUCCCUAUCUGCCGUGGGCGCUGGAGAACUGAGGGGGGCUGCUCCUAGUACGAGAGGACCGGAGUGGACGCAUCACUGGUGUUCGGGUUGUCAUGCCAAUGGCACUGCCCGGUAGCUAAAUGCGGAAGAGAUAAGUGCUGAAAGCAUCUAAGCACGAAACUUGCCCCGAGAUGAGUUCUCCCUGAGACUUAAAGUCUCCUGAAGGAACGUUGAAGACGACGACGUUGAUAGGCCGGGUGUGUAAGCGCAGCGAUGCGUUGAGCUAACCGGUACUAAUGAACCGUGAGGCUUAACCUU
rnacentral:rRNA from 1 species